rnacentral:sRNA from 1 species
AUCUUAAGGAACAAAUGGUGCUCCGACGGC